UAAAACAAUAAUCUUUGCCCUUGAUAUUAAACUAGAUUAGUUUAACAUGUGAAAUGUCCAUAAAGUAUCAUCACAUGAUUGGUUUUAGGGUACAUUUCCAACAAUCUCCCACUUACACUAGAGCCAAUCAGCUUGGUAAUCAGUGAUGAUACCUCUUCUUUAGUCAUUUCAAAAAUGGCUAAGUAGUAGGCCUAGACAAUGGAUAUCUAUAUGUUAUCCAUAGAAGCAACCUUGAGAAUAACGACGUCACCAUUAUACAUGAUUCUCAAUCAUGUGGUUCAGUCUCUCAUUUGAGUUCGGAUCUUGAUGAGACCUUGAUUCCCUGGCUUGAGCUAUCGCCCCAUUAGUGUCGUAGUGUCGGUACACUAGAGACACUUUCUGGUUGGAACCGAAUAGAGAGUUCAUGAAUGAACUUUCUCAUCCAAACAACAUUGUUGUAAGCUUCUAUAUGCCAAUAUAUUUGCAUUCACAAUGGAACACACUAAAGUCAUUACUUUUAAUGUUUCCAUCCAAAUAUCUCUUUAGUCAUAAUAAAGAGAUAUCUGAUUAUCUCUUUAUUCAUAAUGAAGAAACAUCCAAUGAUGAAUUAGAUUCAUAAUCUAAUACAUUUACGCUUCCAUUACGUUAUUCUAAUUCUUCCUCAUUCUUUGAGGAAUCUAUCCUUUAGUAUUUCUUAAAUACUUAAGGACUCACUUGACAUUUGCCAUGGUUCUGAUCCUGGGCUUGCACUGAUAUCGUCUUGUACCGUUCUAGGUACAACUCAUAUCAAUGUUUACAUACAAUAUGAAAUACGUAAAUCACUUUUCUGCGUAUGCAUAAAGGAUUCUAUUUACGCAUUAUUUCUUUGGAAGUCAAAGGGUAUGUUCCCUUUGAGAAGAGCUACCUCCUAGUUUUACUAGAGUUGUUCUUCUGAUUGAAGUUUAUCAUCAUAUGAGAAACUUCCUAGCAUCUUUUGUCUAUCAUUAGGGCUUGAUAUAACCCAAUUAUAUCCUGAAAUCUAUCAUUAUAGAUUUACAUCCCAUGUUUAUAGACUAUGUCUCCCAUAUACAUUCUAUCGUUAUAGAAUGUUUAAAGUCAUAACUUUAACGAAGAAGUAUUCUUUUUCAUUUCCAAAAUUAAUAUAUCAUAUAUUUGUAUAUAUAUAUAUAUUCAAAUUUAGGAACAUGAUUAACUCCCACUAAUCUUUUGUAAACCUAGUAAACAAAGGAUUCAUUUACAUCUUUAUAAGAAAUCGAACGAUUUGAUCUUUCUCUUAUAAGACGUUUAUAGCUCCCACUAGGUUGCUAAGAUCCAUGAUGGAUGGAUCUCUACAACUUACUGUCUUGUGAUUCAUAGUUUUAGACAUAUAUUAUCAAGAUUAUCUUAAUAAUGGUUUCGGAAACUCAUAUUAUGUCCAAACAUUGAAUCACCAUUUAGUUGUAGCUAGCAAUCUUCGAAUUAAUUGAAACCAAGACUACGUCAAAGAUGGUUUCUUCCAAGUCAACUAAUCUCUUUAAUUGUAGUCACCUUAAGCUACCAAUUAGCUAUAAAUGUUUCAUUAUUUCGGGUCAAAUGGUACUUUACCAUUUCCUUGAGUAUAUGUCGUAUAUACACUUAAUGUAGUCAUAAGGAUUUUCAUUCUUAUUCUUUCGAAUUAAGAGAUGUAACUCUAUGACAUAGUCAUAAAGUUCAAACCAUUCAACUGAGACAGUUUAUAAAUCCUUCUCGACUACCUUGGAGCUUGUGUCGUAGGAACUAGGUUGUUAUAUUUGUUGAUUAUCAUUUUGUCUCUCAAAGAACCCAUUCUUUGAGUUCUAUCUCUCGUUCAUUUGCGUUAGGCAAAUCAUAUUGUAGGAUUACAAUGAACUACCCAACAAACAACAUUUGUUAGUUGGUUUAUAAAGUGAUAUCCAAAUGUUAAUUUAAGGAUACCCACAAGAUAAUUCUUUAAACAAAUAUUGCUUAUUAGCACACAACCCCAAAUCUUAACAUGAUUAAGAUUUGUCUUUCUUUCCAACUAUAUCCUAUGGAGUCAUGAAAAUUUUGGAAGAUCUUCUAAUUGACAAUCAUAUUGUCUUAGAAGUAUAUAUCCUAUAUAUGGGCAAUUGAUAACAUCCAACGAACUAAAUCUUAUUUCGAGUUCGUUCUUCUCUUAAUGGAGAAAUCCAUUAUCAUAUGAUGCUUCUUUCCUUGAUAUCUUUCAAGGAAACUAUUCUAAAGUGUUACCUUUCCUUGGAUCAAAUCUAAAGAGGUAAAUACUUUAGACAUCUUACUCAUCAACUUACAUUUCUUGAAUUCUUUGAAACCUUUUGCAAAGUAUUCG
rnacentral:lncRNA from 1 species